UGGGGAAUUUUGGACAAUGGGCGAAAGCCUGAUCCAGCAAUGCCGCGUGUGUGAAGAAGGCCUUCGGGUUGUAAAGCACUUUUGUCCGGAAAGAAAUCCUUGGCUCUAAUACAGUCGGGGGAUGACGGUACCGGAAGAAUAAGCACCGGCUAACUACGUGCCAGCAGCCGCGGUAAUACGUAGGGUGCAAGCGUUAAUCGGAAUUACUGGGCGUAAAGCGUGCGCAGGCGGUUUGCUAAGACCGAUGUGAAAUCCCCGGCUCAACCUGGACUGCAUGGUGACUGGCAGGCUAGAGUAUGGCAGAGGGGGGUAGAAUUCCACGUGUAGCAGUGAAAUGCGUAGAGAUGUGGAGGAAUACCGAUGGCGAAGGCAGCCCCUGGCC
rnacentral:rRNA from 1 species